GCGUCGGCGGUGCAAUGGUUCAGCACGCGCCCCGGAAAGAGUGAGAUCUUGGUUCGAAUCCCGGCUGACGCA